AUUGAACGCUGGCGGCAGGCCUAACACAUGCAAGUCGAGCGGAUAAAGGGAGCUUGCUCCUGGAUUCAGCGGCGGACGGGUGAGUAAUGCCUAGGAAUCUGCCUGGUAGUGGGGGAUAACGUCCGGAAACGGGCGCUAAUACCGCAUACGUCCUGAGGGAGAAAGUGGGGGAUCUUCGGACCUCACGCUAUCAGAUGAGCCUAGGUCGGAUUAGCUAGUUGGUGGGGUAAAGGCCUACCAAGGCGACGAUCCGUAACUGGUCUGAGAGGAUGAUCAGUCACACUGGAACUGAGAGACGGUCCAGACUCCUCCGGGAGGCAGCAGUGGGGAAUAUUGGACAAUGGGCGAAAGCCUGAUCCAGCCAUGCCGCGUGUGUGAAGAAGGUCUUCGGAUUGUAAAGCACUUUAAGUUGGGAGGAAGGGCAGUAAGUUAAUACCUUGCUGUUUUGACGUUACCAACAGAAUAAGCACCGGCUAACUUCGUG
rnacentral:rRNA from 1 species